rnacentral:lncRNA from 1 species
GUUUUGUUGAUUUGUUUUUUAUGGAUGCUUGGGGUUUCUGUGAUAUUUAAGGAAGAGCAGUGGGAGGAGCAGAGACUCUGGAGUGCCACCUGCCUCUGCCACACCCUGGUGGGGCAUCUGCAGGCAAUUUGUAACCACCUUGAAACUCAGGGAUAGGAAUGGGAUUGUGAACUUUUUAACGUUUAAAUCGGUUUCGGGGAAUGUCGUCGGGGUGGUCGGGUCCAGGGUCUCCUCCGCAGCUGCCCCCACUUGCUGGGAAGUCUCGGUGGGUGGUGUCUGGCCCGGACCUGGGCAGCGCUUGGCAUUUCCUCCCGCUCCUGAGAAACAGAAUGUGGGAAGCAGCAGGGCAGGGAGAAGCCCACGCUACACAUAGCCACCAGACUGUUGUUUGUAAAUAACAUUUUAUAAAUUUCGUUGACAGUGAACUGGUUCCCAAGGGUAGGAGGUACUUUCUGUUGUCUCAUUUGAUGGUCACAGCAGCCAGGUGGUGCAGGUGCUGGUUGGUAGUGAGGCUCCCACGGAUUCCCCUUGGGCAUCGUGGCCUCCUGCCUUAUCCCUCAUCCUCCCUGUGGAGGAAGGAGGCCACCUGAGCCGUGAGUUCAGUUCCUCCCACCUCCCCUGCUGACGGAGGGAACACCCUCCCUGCCCUGGACUUCCAUGCCAGGAUGCCUAGAUCCAAAUAUAUAGUUGUUGUUGGGUUUUUUUAAUUCAGUUUUAUUGAGGUGAAACUGACAAAUAAAACUGUAAGAUAAAUACAAUGUGCCUAAAGAUGACUUGGUAUACAUACAAUUGUGAAGAUUCCCUAACCUAGUUCAUUUACACACAUCCAUCACCUCACAUGUUUAUCGUGUGUGUGUGUGUGUGUGUGUGUGUGUGUGUGUGUGUGUGAGAGAGAGAGAGAGAGAGAGAGAGAGAGAACUUUUAGGUUCUACUCUGAGUAAAUUUCUGUUACGUACUUCGGCGCUAUCCAGUAGUUUCGCAUUAGAUCCUCAGACCUAAUUCAUCUUAUAGCUGGAAGUUUGUGCCCUUGAACUUACCCUUAAAUAAAAAUUUAAAUCUUACUCCCAGGAGAAAUUGUGGUAAAUGUUCAUCCUGGCCAUUGAGAAGAACCGGUGCUUAAGAACCAUCAUCUGUGCCAAGGGGUUUAGACCAGAGGGCACAUGCUUUUAUUUUUUUCUAAUGGAUCAAUAAAAUUGUUAUAUCUUCAAAAUAUACAUAUAUGUUAUUAAAGUAUCACAGAGUAUUGUUAAUAAAAGUGACGGUUUAGAUUCAUUCCACUCACUCCUGCUGAUCUCAUUUGGCUCUGAAGUUGAAUGGAAAAAAAAAAAAA